rnacentral:rRNA from 1 species
UGCAGUCGAACGGUAAGGCCCUUCGGGGUACACGAGUGGCGAACGGGUGAGUAACACGUGGGUAAUCUGCCCUGCACUUCGGGAUAAGCCUGGGAAACUGGGUCUAAUACCGGAUAUUCAGCUUCUGCCGCAUGGUGGGGGUUGGAAAGUUUUUCGGUGCAGGAUGAGCCCGCGGCCUAUCAGCUUGUUGGUGGGGUAAUGGCCUACCAAGGCGACGACGGGUAGCCGGCCUGAGAGGGUGAUCGGCCACACUGGGACUGAGACACGGCCCAGACUCCUACGGGAGGCAGCAGUGGGGAAUAUUGCACAAUGGGCGAAAGCCUGAUGCAGCGACGCCGCGUGGGGGAUGACGGUCUUCGGAUUGUAAACCCCUUUCAGUAGGGACGAAGCGCAAGUGACGGUACCUGCAGAAGAAGCACCGGCCAACUACGUGCCAGCAGCCGCGGUAAUACGUAGGGUGCGAGCGUUGUCCGGAAUUACUGGGCGUAAAGAGCUCGUAGGCGGUUUGUCGCGUCGUCCGUGAAAACUCGGAGCUUAACUCCGAGCUUGCGGGCGAUACGGGCAGACUUGAGUACUACAGGGGAGACUGGAAUUCCUGGUGUAGCGGUGAAAUGCGCAGAUAUCAGGAGGAACACCGGUGGCGAAGGCGGGUCUCUGGGUAGUAACUGACGCUGAGGAGCGAAAGCAUGGGUAGCGAACAGG